UGCGCAGGCGGUUCCAUAAGACAGAUGUGAAAUCCCCGGGCUCAACCUGGGAACUGCAUUUGUGACUGUGGAGCUAGAGUACGGUAGAGGGGGAUGGAAUUCCGCGUGUAGCAGUGAAAUGCGUAGAUAUGCGGAGGAACACCAAUGGCGAAGGCAAUCCCCUGGACCUGUACUGACGCUCAUGCACGAAAGGCUGGGAGCAAACA
rnacentral:rRNA from 1 species